rnacentral:rRNA from 1 species
AGUGAACGCUGGCGGCGUGCCUAAUACAUGCAAGUCGAACGAAGUCGCGCCCGGGUGAGUAAUAUGUAGUUCAUCUGCCCUACACAGAGGAACACCAGUUGGACACGACUGCUAAUACCUCAUAGUGUAGGAUGAGACUAUAUCGUAUCAGCUAGUUGGUAAGGUAAUGGCGUACCAAUGCUAUGACGCGUAACUGGUCUGAGAGGAUGAUCAGUCACAUUGGAAGUGAGACACGGGCCAAACUCCUACGGGAAGCAGCAGUAAGGUAUAUGGCGCAAGGGGGGAAACCCUGACGCAGCAACGCCGCGUGGAGGAUUACACUUUUCGGAGCGUAAACGCCUUUUAUCAGGAAAGCGGUACCUGAUGAAUAAGCACCGGCUAACUCCGUGCCAGCAGCCGCGGUAAUAC